rfam:Candidatus Pacebacteria bacterium RIFOXYD1_FTLL_39_27 rifoxyd1_full_scaffold_9762, whole genome shotgun sequence.
CGGGGAGUAGCUCAGUUGGCUAGAGUGCGCGGUUUGGGACCGCGAGGUCGCAGGUUCGAGUCCUGUCUCCCCGA